CAGGACUCGCAAGACUCCUACAACCCUGUGAACCUACUAUACGAACGUUGCUUCGGCGGGUGCGCCCCGGGGAUUCGUUCCCGAGGCGCGUCAGCCCGCCGGCAGCCUACAAAUUCUGUUUCUUUGCGUUGGCAUCUCGAGAAAAACAAAUAAGUUA
rnacentral:misc_RNA from 1 species